rnacentral:rRNA from 1 species
GAUGAACGCUGGCGGCGUGCCUAAUACAUGCAAGUCGAGCGAACAGACGAGGAUCUUGCUCCUCUGACGUUAGCGGCGGACGGGUGAUUAACACGUGGAUAACCUACCUAUAAGACUGGGAUAACGUCGGGAAACCGGAUCUAAUACCUUCUAAUAUAUUGAACCGCGUGGUUCAAUAGUGAAAGACGGUUUUGCUCUCACUUAUAGAUAUAUCCGCGCCGCAUUAGCUAGUUGGUAAGGUAACGGCUUACCAAGGCGACGAUGCGUAGCCGACCUGAGAGGGUGAUCGGCCACACUGGAACUGAGACACGGUCCAGACUCCUACGGGAGGCAGCAGUAGGGAAUCUUCCGCAAUGGGCGAAAGCCUGACGGAGCAACGCCGCGUGAGUGAUGAAGGUCUUCGGGUCGUAAAACUCUGUUAGUAGGGAAGAACAAAUGUGUAAGUAACUAUGCACGUCUUGACGGUACCUAAUCAGAAAGCAACGGCUAACUACGUG